UACGUAGGGUGCAAGCGUUAAUCGGAAUUACUGGGCGUAAAGCGCGCGUAGGCGGUUAUUUAAGUCUGGGGUGAAAGGUUCAGCGCUCAACGUGAACAGUGCCUUGGAUACUGGAUGACUUGAGUCUGGGAGGGGGAAGGGGAAUUCCUGGUGUAGCGGUGAAAUGCGUAGAUAUCAGGAGGAACACCGGUGGCGAAGGCGCCUUCCUGGCCUAAGACUGACGCUGAGGUGCGAAAGCGUGGGAGCAAACGGG
rnacentral:rRNA from 1 species